AGAUUUUCUACAAUGAACAUCUAUUACUUUUGAUAAUCAAGAAAUUAAAAAAGUUUAAAAGCAGGCCUUUUGGCACAUGCCCUUUGUCAUGCUCACUGGAGAAGGUGAGUGUCCAGGUGUAUAUCUGAAGUCAGUUGGGGGACUGGACUGAAGGAAGAGCCAGUGUCUCUGGACACCAGAAGGAAGCGUCCUGGGCAUGAUGUCUAAUAGCAGGUGAAGGAGGUGCUUUUUUUCCAUGUGGUGACCACCAUGGGAGGUGCCUUAGAUUUUUGUCAUCACAGAGUCAUGGCUGGGGGUAGGGCGGUGUGAGCAAGUAGACUCAGGGCGGCAUGAAAUAACCUAUAAAGGUAUGGGAAACUUCUUGCG
rnacentral:lncRNA from 10 species